rnacentral:rRNA from 1 species
UACGUAGGGGGCAAGCGUUGUCCGGAUUUACUGGGCGUAAAGAGCGUGUAGGCGGCCAGAAAAGUCCGCUGUGAAAACUCGAGGCUCAACUUCGAGCUGUCGGUGGAAACUUUCUGGCUAGAGUCCGGAAGAGGAGAAUGGAAUUCCUGGUGUAGCGGUGAAAUGCGCAGAUAUCAGGAAGAACACCCGUGGCGAAGGCGGUUCUCUGGGACGGUACUGACGCUGAGACGCGAAAGCGUGGGGAGCGAACAGG